GACGAACGCUGGCGGCGUGCUUAACACAUGCAAGUCGAGCGGUAAGGCCCUUUCGGGGGUACACGAGCGGCGAACGGGUGAGUAACACGUGGGUGACCUGCCUUUAGCUCUGGGAUAAGCCUGGGAAACUGGGUCUAAUACCGGAUACGACUCCGCGGUGCAUGCUGUGGGGUGGAAAGCCUUGUGCGGCUGGAGAUGGGCCCGCGGCCUAUCAGCUUGUUGGUGGGGUGAUGGCCUACCAAGGCGACGACGGGUAGCCGGCCUGAGAGGGCGACCGGCCACACUGGGACUGAGACACGGCCCAGACUCCUACGGGAGGCAGCAGUGGGGAAUCUUGCGCAAUGGGCGAAAGCCUGACGCAGCGACGCCGCGUGAGGGA
rnacentral:rRNA from 1 species